GUCGUCAAAAUUGACCAAAAUGCCAAGGAACUGCCAACGAUGUCAUUUAUUGUUAUCAGUUAACUGGACUUUGUGAGAGUUUUCUUGCAAAAUGUUUGCCAAGGUGGCGAUCGAAGGUGGACAGCAAGAUCGAAGCUCAGCAAGAUUGAAGAUUGUUCGAGGAAGAAGGAGUUCGCCGUUGACUAAAAGGUUUAUCUGAACAGCUAGUUGUCAAGAUGAAUGUGAAGACUCGCCCGGCCAAAUUCAAAAUGGCGAUGCCAAAGAAAACCAUCCACGUGGAGCGUUCGCGGACCUUUCUGAGCAAGAUUGUUGUGCUGUCUGGUCAAAGUUAGCCAGUUAUCAAGACGUACGUCAAGAGAACAGUUG